CAGAAGAAGCUGUAAUUUAUGUCAGGUGCUCCAGUGAGUUCUUUUAAUUACAUCCAUGUCCAGUGCUCAGUCACUUCUAGUGGAGUUAAAAACAGAGUCAAAUAUGUUAGGUUAAAAUGUUAAAAUAGUUCCAGAGGAGAUUCAAAUUGUCAAUAAAAGCUAUGUUGCCGAGUGUAGCUACAUGUUGACUGCAGCCAGGUGUGGAAGCUAAAAGAGUGCGACUAAAACAACACAUUGAAUGGAGGUAUGGGACCGGAGAUAAAAAAUCAGGCAUCAGACCCUCGGGGCACAGGAUGUGUUGGUUUUGCUGGACCGAAGAUGAUGGUAUCCAUGAACUUCUCAGGACGCAGCUGACACAGCCAGGUGUGGAGGUCAGACUCUUUGCCUGUGUGGUGUUUAUGUCCUGGGCUCGAGAAGAGACGGGUGGAGGGAGGAAGAACUGAGGCCUUCACUUUCUCCGCCAUGUGCUUUGGAGGCCCUCAGAGAUGAAACCACACAUUGGAGCUGUAGCAGGGGGUAGAAGAAGAAGAAGAGGGCUCCAGAAAAAGCUCUGCCGGCGCUCCCAGCCAAGACACCAGCCAGAAACCAAACUGGAUGUGGUGAAACUGUCAAAUUACUUAAGGAAACUGCUGCAAAACCUCAGGAAGCGAAAAACAGAGAGGGAGAGGGGAGUUUUUUUUUUCAUCGUGUUGCAAAACAAGCAAAGCGAAAUGGUAUUUGUAAAAUAAUUUAUAAUUUUAAAAAGCUGUCAGUGGGCAGGCCUGGCUGUUAUAGAACAUAUUUUCUCAGUAUCUUUCAGUGUUCUUCCGUAGUUUAAUUAAAAAGGUAUUUAUGAAAUGCAUCUUUUGAUUCAAAUCCAACUGAGGACCUACCUCUUGCACAUCUUUCUAACCAUACUUCAAAUCAGCUCUCUAAUAAAAGAAAUAAAAUGCACUGAAAUACCAAUUAAAAAGCUAUUUACUUGAAUGUAUUUCAAGACUUAUAGGCCACAUCCACAUUAAAAAUGCAUUUGUUUUCUGGUCAUUCUUUUGGCCACACUAAGCCAGCGAAAAAACAAAACUUUUUCAAAAAGAUGUACCCAGAAGUUGAGAAGUUUGAAAAACAAUCACGAUACUUGAACAUAACCAACAACAAAAGCUUUAAAACCUUAUUGUAAAAUGUUACAAACCUGUCUAAUUAAAGGAGUUUACCAAUUAUUCAGUGAGGGAAACCAACAAGACUGCAUCCAUUUACAACCCUGCCCCUACAAAAUUACAUUCAUAUAAUACCAAUUUGUUUUGGCAGUAACGUUUUGAAGGAAACAUAAUUAAUGCCUCGAGUGUAUUCAGUGGCAACAUUUCUUUUAGUGAACUGUAGGAAGUGCAACGUUUUUCUACCACAUGCAAGUCGUGGGGAGUUUCCUGAUGUAGAUGGAGGGCGUACAAAGACUUUCAAGGCACCAAAUGUACUUUGGUUAUGGUUGGGGAAAGAUCUGAGUUUCCGUUACUUGUCAUUAAGGAAAACACGUCAUGUUUUUCACUUUUUUUUUUCACUUUUUCAGUGUUUACCAAAGACUACAAUCUUUCUCUAACCUUAGCCGAGUGCUCUUAGUGCCUAAAUUUAACCAUAAAAAAUAUAAUCAUGCUUUAGUUCUAUACGAUCGGAUGUUGUUG